AUGAACGCUAGCUACAGGCUUAACACAUGCAAGUCGAGGGGCAGCAUGGUCUUAGCUUGCUAAGGCCGAUGGCGACCGGCGCACGGGUGAGUAACACGUAUCCAACCUGCCGUCUACUCUUGGACAGCCUUCUGAAAGGAAGAUUAAUACAAGAUGGCAUCAUGAGUCCGCAUGUUCACAUGAUUAAAGGUAUUCCGGUAGACGAUGGGGAUGCGUUCCAUUAGAUAGUAGGCGGGGUAACGGCCCACCUAGUCUUCGAUGGAUAGGGGUUCUGAGAGGAAGGUCCCCCACAUUGGAACUGAGACACGGUCCAAACUCCUACGGGAGGCAGCAGUGAGGAAUAUUGGUCAAUGGGCGAGAGCCUGAACCAGCCAAGUAGCGUGAAGGAUGACUGCCCUAUGGGUUGUAAACUUCUUUUAUAAAGGAAUAAAGUCGGGUAUGCAUACCCGUUUGCAUGUACUUUAUGAAUAAGGAUCGGCUAACUCCGUGCCAGCAGCCGCGGUAAUACGGAGGAUCCGAGCGUUAUCCGGAUUUAUUGGGUUUAAAGGGAGCGUAGAUGGAUGUUUAAGUCAGUUGUGAAAGUUUGCGGCUCAACCGUAAAAUUGCAGUUGAUACUGGAUAUCUUGAGUGCAGUUGAGGCAGGCGGAAUUCGUGGUGUAGCGGUGAAAUGCUUAGAUAUCACGAAGAACUCCGAUUGCGAAGGCAGCCUGCUAAGCUGCAACUGACAUUGAGGCUCGAAAGUGUGGGUAUCAAACAGGAUUAGAUACCCUGGUAGUCCACACGGUAAACGAUGAAUACUCGCUGUUUGCGAUAUACGGCAAGCGGCCAAGCGAAAGCGUUAAGUAUUCCACCUGGGGAGUACGCCGGCAACGGUGAAACUCAAAGGAAUUGACGGGGGCCCGCACAAGCAGUGGAGUAUGUGGUUUAAUUCGACGCAACGCGAAGAACCUUACCAAGUCUUGACAUCCUUCUGACCGGUACUUAAUCGUACUUUCUCUUCGGAGCAGGAGUGACAGGUGGUGCAUGGUUGUCGUCAGCUCGUGUCGUGAGAUGUUGGGUUAAGUCCCGCAACGAGCGCAACCCUUAUUAUCAGUUGCCAGCAUUCAGUUGGGCACUCUGGUGAGACUGCCGGUGAUAAACCGGAGGAAGGUGGGGACGACGUCAAAUCAUCAUGCCCCUUAUGACCUGGGCUACACACGUACUACAAUGGCGUUAAACAAAGAGAAGCAAGACCGCGAGGUGGAGCAAAACUCAAAAACAACGUCUCAGUUCAGAUUGCAGGCUGCAACUCGCCUGCAUGAAGUCGGAAUUGCUAGUAAUCGCGGAUCAGCAUGCCGCGGUGAAUACGUUCCCGGGCCUUGUACACACCGCCCGUCACACCAUGAGAGUUUGUAACACCCAAAGUCGGUGGGGUAACCCUUCGGGGAACUAGCCGCCUAAGGUGGGACAAAUGAUUAGGGUG
rnacentral:rRNA from 1 species